UACGAAGGGUGCAAACGUUGCUCGGAAUUAUUGGGCGUAAAGCGCACGUAGGCGGCUUGGCAAGUCGGAUGUGAAAUCUUAUGGCUUAACCAUAAAAGUGCAUCCGAAACUGCAGUGCUUGAGUACUUAAGAGGAUCGCGGAAUUCCCGGUGUAGAGGUGAAAUUCGUAGAUAUCGGGAGGAACACCAGUGGCGAAGGCGGCGAUCUGGGAAGAUACUGACGCUGAGGUGCGAAAGCGUGGGGAGCAAACAGG
rnacentral:rRNA from 1 species